rnacentral:lncRNA from 1 species
CCAGGUACACCCAGGUGUGCCCCAGGUGUAUCUCAGGUACCCUCACCUGUCUCAUGAACUCCUUGGAGGUGCACACCAGCUCGUGGUACAGCACCCAGCGGGGCUGCAGCGAGAACAGGGCGCUGUUGGGGUGGAUGAACACCGGCUGUUGGUGUUUCACCGUGCGGUACCCGCCCCGCGCCAAACGCGCCGUGUGGUAAAAGAACCCGGCUGUGAUGGCCUGGGGGGACAGGAAACGGGGGGACACCGUCGCUGGGGGGACAGGAAACGGGGGGACACCGUCACUGGGGGGACAGGAAACGGGG